UACGUAGGGUGCGAGCGUUGUCCGGAAUUAUUGGGCGUAAAGGGCUCGUAGGCGGUCUGUUGCGUCAGGAGUGAAAACUCGGGGCUUAACCCCGAGCCUGCUUCUGAUACGGGCAGACUAGAGGUAUGCAGGGGAGAACGGAAUUCCUGGUGUAGCGGUGAAAUGCGCAGAUAUCAGGAGGAACACCGGUGGCGAAGGCGGUUCUCUGGGACGUGACUGACGCUGAGACGCGAAAGCGUGGGGAGCGAACAGG
rnacentral:rRNA from 1 species